UGGGCGUGCUGGCAGCAUAUGGCAGCACUUUCGAUUGUGCGUCAAGAAUUCAGCAUAGCAUGUUUGUAUGAACGUCUGGUUAUUAAAUGGGUACAUAGUUCAAUAGUAAUAUCCUCUAAAACGCUCUAGUGACAAACUAACUUUGCUGCCCUGUUUCAAAUUAUCUACAUGGCUGGGAGAACCUAUUCAAGUAAAGUAAAUACAUUUAAAAAAUAUAAAGAGAGCUAUGAAAGCCGGUCUACAUAUGAAGAGCAGUGGUUCUCAGUCCUGGGGUCUCAAAAGGGGUGCACAUUUUUGUUUUUGCCUUAGCACUGCACAGCUAAUUCAGUUGAUCAAUUCAUCAAGCUUCUAGUGGUAUUUCUGUAUUUAUUCUUUGAUAUGAUCCUGUUAUUGUCACAUGCUAUAUAUGCACGUGUGUGCCCAUUCAUCUUGAUAUCCAAUGUUUUCAUGAGUUGUUAUAAGGGAUAUUAUACUUUAGUAAUCCACAAUGACCCAGUGAUGUAAAAGUCUAAUAAUUACAUUGUCUUCCAUAUUACUACAGAUACCUUGUAACUGGAGAUUCCUUCAAAACGAUUGCCUACAGUUAACAUAUAGGGCACUGCAAGGUUGGGUGACCAGGGCCACCUGGGACUGCCUCCUGGGGGAAUUCAGGUGUGUGAAGGCUACCUGUGUCCUGCAUAACUUGAUGAGGAUGGACACGAGGACCAGGAGGGGAUGUGCAGCUUGCCGCCGUGUGCCAGAGUAGAAGUCUGCUGCUCUGUGAGAUGUUUCAAGGAUGGGGUCUAACAACGCAGCAAGAGGGGAGAUCUUCACCUCCUACUUCUUCGAAGAUGUUGCUGUUCCCUGGUAACACCAUUGACUACACUAUGCACAACCAAAGGCUCUUUUAAGAGCCAUUGACAUUGCAAUAAGAGUAUUCUUCCAUUUACUUAACGAUGUCAACAGCAGUUAUUCAAUUCCCAGUUUCUCUCCCCUUGAUUUCAUCUUCUCAGAUGAGGGUGCUGUUUAGCCACGGAUGUGAUGUCUGUACAGAAACAAAACAGGCUAUUUUAAUCACCCAUAUUGAUUUUUUUUUAAACAAUUAGAUACGCUAUAACCCAUACACUCAUGUAUCAAUAUGAUUGUGUUGUGCAGUAAGCAGGCUUAGGUGUAUAACUGUGGCUCCUUCCACCUUCAAAAAAUAGGCAAGAGGGCCAACCAUGGAGAAUAGUAAGAUAAUUCAUUAUUUCUAUAACUACUCUAUUGUUUGUCCUCGUGUGUCCGUUCAUGUUUUUCUGCAUAAAGUACUCUGCAGCCACUUAGUGUGGUGUGGACACCAGGAGAGGCCGCACAGAGCUUCCUUUUGAACACAGUCACUUUAACUACCUUAUUUUUCAAUAACAGUCUCGUUCAAUUCAUCCCUCUCUCUUCUCCCUAAAUCCUCUAGGUUAUAUCAGCUGUGUCAGUGAACCCCUCCCACAUCUGAACUGGCUACAUAGAGGGCACAGCAUGAUCAGAGAUAUGUUUUGAUGUGAGAGGGGAUGCCAACCCCCAGUCCUAUCAUCGCCACAUCACCUGCUUUUAAGAUAACCUUUGGGCUGUUGAGUGAUACUUAUGUAAUUGUGAUGAACUGAGAAUAUUUAGGUAGCACUGUGAUUCAUUAAUCAUAUGCUGCCUUCCCUGCUCCUAUGUUUUACCUCUUUCCCUUUUACACCUCUCCCGCCGCCUCUUUCUUCAUAAUGCACAACAGAUGUGCAUUGAAGUACAGAUUGAACUUGAAUUUAUAACAUUACCAUUAUAAUAUUUAUAAUGCAUGUAUUUAUAACACUUGGAUAAUGAGAUUUUCAAUAAAGCAUUUUACAUUCUCUA